GUUUUCUUGGGAAAGAGAAGACAUCAAACAGGCAUAUGAGGUAGAGGAUAAUAAAGAAUAUUACCUCCUUUUCAAGUACCUUGAUUUUUUUGAAGUUUUCUCGAAGUUGGUUUACCAGUUUCACAAUAACACAGAGCAACUAGAAGAUCAAAAUUCCUUGUAUGAGGGAAGAGUAUCUGUGGACCAGGCUGAAAUUUCUGAGGGGACUCUAUCACUUUUACUAAGAAAUGUGGAUUUCAUGGAUGAAGCUAUCUACAAGUGCUCAGCCAUCACACCAGAUGGAAGAGGUGAAAGUACAAUUAAGCUAAUAGUAGAAGGAUUGCAUGAAGAGCUUUUCCCCCAUCAGAGACUUUCAGGGAUUGGGGAAGGCAUGGCAGAAUUCCUCCAGGAUAAGAGUUGGAAGACAUGAGAAGGUGGUGGUUGUGAGAAUAAUUCGUUAUCUUCUGUGGUUCUCAGCAGGGUAUGUGGAGUUCAGUGGUGAAUCUGGAAUGAAUCCACUCAAAGAGGGGAAGAUUCCAAAAGAUAAAGGCAGCAGUGAUAGAUGAGAACUGAAAGGCAGGAGCAUACAUGUAUCCUGUUCUUCUCUUACUAUGCUUGGAUCAAAAUUUUAACUACAGUGAAUCUCAAGAUAUAUUGCCUACAUAACGGGUUAAUGUAAAAAGCGAGAGCAUGUAUUCUGCUAGCCUGAGCCUCUUGGGGCUGAAAUAAAAAAGGAACUAAUUGUUUUGUUAUUUUUUCCAAUCAGACUCUGAAAUGCCCCAGGUGCAAUUUGACAGGAUUGAUGAUGAGGAUGUGGCCACAUGCAUCUCAAAGGACUAGUACCUCACGCCCAUUGUGACAUGGCUGGACCGGACAGAGAGGGACCUGAGCAACCACAGCAUCGUGGAAAUCCUGGAGGAGCAGAUGAAUGGCUUCUACAGGGUGUUCUCCAUCCUGAAAUACCCUGUCAAGUUAAAUGAGAAAUAUCUCUGCCACAUAACAGAGACAGAUGUGAACAACCAGCUCUUCAGAAUCAUCCACAAGUAUCCAAGCUCCCUCAUGCUGCUGCCCUGGGAAAGGAUCAGCUUCCCCAUGUUACUUUCAAGAUGGCUCCCCAGAUGGUGCAAGGGAUUCUGGAAGAAACAUCUAUCCAAAUUUCUAGAUAGAAGGGGAAGAUGUAGCUAACAACUCUCCUCUCCUGCUUGCCAUGUGUCACAGGUGUUCCACUCUAAUGUUGUAUAAUGAAGGUGUGCAUGAAACAACUAUUAGGCCUUUGCUUAGUACGUACUUAUCAUUCUUGUCCUAAUUCCUAGGAACAGGUCUCUGAUGUCCUUUAUUCACUAUACAAUUUUCCCUGACGAAACUUCCCUGUUUACCUUGUGAAGUCUUGAUUAAUUAAUGGAA
rnacentral:lncRNA from 1 species